CCAUUGUAUACAAUUAAAUUUUUAAUCAAGAGAACAAGAGCAAACAAAAGUAAACUCAUUCACCUUCAUUAUUAUUAUUAGCAUUCUUAGUGAUAUUAACCAAUAAUAAUUCUGAUUGUACAGCAUCAGAAAGUGAAGAGCUUUUCAAUCAAAGUUGAUAAAAUUGAAAAAUGAUUAAAGAUGCUGUGUGGUUGGUUAAUUUUUCAAGAUUAUAUAUAAAUUAGGAAUACAUUUGAGAAAAGGUUACCUUUCUUCUUCCCAUUUCAUGAAACGUUUCGCACAAAAUGGUUAACUCAAAUCACAUGGUACUUUUGACCAACAUUAAUCAAACAUUUUUCCUUGAUGGAAAAGCCCUUGAAAACAACAUUUUACUCGGUUUACUGCGCAGAUUGAGCCUUUAUCAUUCAUCGUGCCUGUUUUUUUGUGUUCAUUAUAAUGCGAUGCAUUUUACCUGUAAUCAGGUAACAUGAUGAUUGGAUAAAAAGCAAGUUAAUUUCCACCUUAAAUAAAAUUCAUUAACUCCUUGUGACCCUUACAGGUUUCAUCAAAAAAUGUCAAACCCAAUAUUAACCUUAUUAGCACAUAUUUUCCUCUAAUUUUCAACUAUCAAUUGCUAGUAAAAUUAUCAAGUAUAGUUUGAUUUGAAUCAUAUAGUUACAGAAAGACAGCAAAUUUUUGUUAAGUCGCCAUCUCCCCAUAAGGAGGGGCUAAUUAAGUGCGACAGAGGGCAAUUCUCUGUCUACAUUAAAAUAAGAUUGUAACCACUUCAUCUUAAUUUUUUCCUAUGUUUAACUUGUUUUACGCUUCAUUUUCCUAUCUUAAUUAAUAUUCAAAAGGAAUGUUGAGCAAUUAGUAAAUGUUAAAUUAUUAAUAGACAAUAUUUUCCUAAAACUUCAAGUUUAACUUACCAAAUGUGUGGUAAUAUCUCAGAUUUGGAGUCUCUUAAAUAUGGUUAAAGAUGAUGACCAAGGAUGUAAAAGUGAUGAAUGGAAAACGAUGGUGUAAAAAAACUAUGGUCAAAGAUGGUCAAGAGAAAAGCAAGAGUUGGAAUAAAUCAGACGAUUGGAGUAAAAUGUUUGAGUUGCAGUUAAAAGUGAUUACACAAUUUUUGGAGAACAAAUUUGAUGGUGUUCAAUGUUGAAUAUUUCACAUGUAAACAAUGAUGAUAAGGAUGAUGAUGGAUAAAGUGCGUACAAAGAGAAAGAAAAAACUGGAUUAGUGAUUAACAAAAAGGAGAUGACGAUUAAUGGUGGACACUUGGAUCAAGAGAAAAAUUGAACCCUGCCAACAACACCAUUGCUAUACACACCAACCUAGACACACACAGAGUUGAAACUAAAAGGAAAGCGAUGAUCGUGAGGCAAAAAAAGUUGCUGUUUCAUUUCUCCCUCAUUCUCUCCUUCAUCAUCUCUUCCAUCAUCAUUCCCUUUCAUCAUUUUCAUCAUGAAGAUAGAGAUGAUCAGGAUGAUGAACAACCGUAGUAGUGAUAGUUGUGGUAACUGGUGAUACCCAAACUUAACAAUGAAGCAGUUUAAAGAUCUGGUCACAGUAUUUAAUUGAACUGAUUCCUGGAUAUUACAAUUAACAUCGACAACUGGUAUAACCAAAAAAGCUGGACCUGGUAAUGAUGAAAGCAAUGGAAGGAUCAAUUUUUGUCUUCAAUGGAAGGAGUUGACCUAAUCUUCUGUGGAUUCAAUGACCUGUCCAAUUUUAUGUCGAGAAUGAAGAUAGCCAUUUGUAAUAUAUUAAGGACCAUUGGUAACCCAAAUCCACAUUGUUUUAUCCUAUGGACAAGAUUAUUUUAGACGGAUUUUUGGCACAAUUUGGAUUAACAGUCAACAUUGUUAUCAACACUUUGGAUGGAACAAGAUUUAUCCUAAUUUAACACUUUUUUGUAUACCAAAGAUGCCAAGGAUGGAUUGAAAUACAUUUCAAUUGCUGUUAUAAUGACGCUGCAUGCAUUAUAUAAUGUUUUUGAUGGUUCAAGAUGAUAAUUUGGAUUGAUCUAUAGAGUGUUCAGAUUACAACUUGAAGAUACCUCAAUAAUCAAAUGUACCUUGGAAGGUUGCUUUUUUAAUGAUACAGAUAAUGAUGUCUUUCUGACCUCUUGACCAUCUUAUACUCGGCUGUGAUUUAUUUUAAUCAACCUAAAAAUAAUCCAUUUGUGAUUAUGUAAAUACAAUAAAUAUUGUUCAAUCCAAUUGUAACUCAAUAUGUAAUGACAAAAUUUAACCUAAUAUUAGAUCCAGUAUUACCAAUAGUUGAGUAGUCAAAUGUCAAGUGUGACCAACAGUGUAGGCAUAAGAAGUAGGCCAAAGUUAAUUUGUUAAAACAAAAAUAUUGUCAUGUAUUAAAUUUACUUGAUCCACAAAAGUGCAGGUGAUGGAGACAAAAUGUUGAUUAUUGGUGCUUAUCAAGUAGACUUGACAUUCGCCGUUUUUUAUAUUGUCUUCAUUUUCACUUUUAUUUUCAACUGCAUUAUAUUCAUUCAACACUUAAUAACUGUAAGAUUUAAUUCUAAAUUGUCCAUUAAAUCGGUUAUCCA